UGUAUUUAAAUAAAGAGAAAACAAGGGGCCAGCCUUCUGGCUCACACCUAUAAUCCCAGCACUCUGGGAGGCCGAGGCGAGAGGAUCACCUGAGCUCAGGAUUUGGAGACCAGCCUGAGUAAGAGUGAGACUCCAUCUUUACUAAAAAACCAGCUGGGCAUCAUGGCAGGCACCUAUAGUCUCAGCUAUCCUGGAGGGUGAGGCAAGGGGGUCACUUGAACCCACGAGUUUGAGGUUGCUGUGAGCUAUGACGAUGCCAUGGCAGUCUACCCAGGGCAGUGAGACUGCCUCAAGAACAAACCAGUGAGAAGAAAGACAGACACAGAAGGAACGUAAAGGUGAUUCUGAUGCACUGCUGAUUUGAGAGAAAUCUGCUAAAACCGGUGCCAGCUGUAACCCAGGGCAGAGGAGGCCCUCUGCUACCUUUAGAUAAUUUGUUACUGCUUUCCAUGGAUCUCCCCCCAUCAACCAACCAAGUGUGUGAAGUAAGCAGAACUCCUUUGGGACUUGAAGUGGACCGUGGGAGUAGGAGAAGCACGGUUGUGUUUUUGGAAGCUUCCAGGCUAAUAGCAGAGACAGUCCACUUCAUCCUCACCUCUUUCUCAGGUCACAGACUGAAAAGAGCCAACUAAUUUGUAAAAAGCUUUCCUCUCCAAUGCACCACACCCGUUCCCUCUCCUUGAGUAAUUGGCUUUCAGCACAUUGGCUUCCAGAAUCUACCACAGCCACCUUGGAAGAAUAUGUAAGGACAAGCGCCACUUAUCCUUUUAUCUUCCCUGCAUCUGCACAUAAUGAACAUUCCUGGACUUGACGUGAGAUAGGACCAUGCAGUGACCGGGGGCUUUGUGGUUUGCUAUAAGUCUUGGGCUAUGAAAUAGAAGGCUUAUAUCACUGAGGACUUGGUGGAUUUUUCUCUGUGUCCUGGGAUCCCGUACAGUAGAACCUCUGAAAACUGAUCACCCAAGGGACUGUUACCAUACGGAACUAGACCUUUGUGUAUGUGGUGAAUGUGCUGUCUAUAAAAAUUAGGUCAUCUUAAGGAGCUGAUCAAUGUAGGAAAGUGGUCUACUGUGGAGGUUCUGCUGUAUGUUCAAAGUUAUUUGGGAGAAACUGGGAAAUCCUGAGAACCAAGGAAGGAAGGAACCGGACAGGAGGAGAACUGAUGGGCCCAGGGAGAUACUUGUGUCUGUAAUUGUGUACAAUUCAUUUCUCUCAGAUCUCUCAUAGCAUCUUGAACUUAGGACACACUCAAUACAUUCUUUACACGAAAUGAAUUAGACAUCCCUCAGUGCCUUAAAGGGUUAACUUAAAUACCCAGAGCUGCAGAGAGAUGAAUCGCCACAGGGGGGCGACAGAGUCCAGAAGGUGAGAGAAGCAGCAGGUGCGCAGAGGUAGGGGUAAAUUUGGCAAGGGUGCUAAACUGAACCUUAAAAGGAAGAGGGAAAAUGAGACUAAAAUGACUUUUAGAUCCAAGGAGCGUGUGGGCUCUCUCCCUGGGUGUGAUGAAAUCUGAGGAGGUGGCUGGACUUCAAAUUUGAUUCUGAGCCAGUGAAGGACUUGGUCUCCUAGAUCACUGGGGGAGUCUCAGUGACUCACAUUUUCUCAAGCAAAGAUGAAAAAUGACAAGCAUUCCCAGAUUUCCCCUGCUGUCCAAAGCCCAGCAAGACCCCAAAGGAAAGAUAACAUUGUUCCUUCAACAAAGUGUCUACGGAAAUGUGGGGAAGUUCCCAGCUCCAAUCAGCCAUAAAUUGACACCGAAAACAGACUCACAGGCCAAAUAUCUUGUACUGACAGUUCUCCAGUCUCUUCAGUCUCCAAACAAUAGAAUGCCAUGGGCGAGAGACCGAUACCCUGGGGGACUUAGGGAGAGGAGGUCAGUUUCCUGUCAGUUCUCUGCACCAAUUAUUUGCUUACGCAUUCCUCUUCCCCCUUGGACUGUUAAUCCUCUGGUGUGGAGAACCAAGCUUCAUUCAUACAAAUUUAAUUCAUUACUUUAUGUAUGUUAUAAAUGUUUCCUGAGCUCUGACCAUGUGCCAGUCACAAAAGAGAAAAGACAGUUGCAUAAAUGCAGCUUAUUUUCUAUGGUGUAAGGAAGGGGGUUGACGGGCAAUAAAUUGGUGAGCAAAUAAACAAGACAAGUUUAGCAUGUGAUAAAUGGUACAAUGGAAACAUCUCAGGUGAAUUAAUAGGGAAUAACAGGGUGUGCAGGGUAGCUAGGACUACAUCCCCCUGCAUGUCAGGGAAGGUCAGUCUUUAGGGAGGUGAUAUUUG